rnacentral:rRNA from 1 species
ACGCUCGACACCUACGGGGGGCAGCAGUGGGGAAUAUUGCACAAUGGGGGAAACCCUGAUGCAGCGACGCCGCGUGAGCGAAGAAGUAUUUCGGUAUGUAAAGCUCUAUCAGCAGGGAAGAAAAUGACGGUACCUGACUAAGAAGCCCCGGCUAACUACGUGCCGCAGCCGCGGUAAUCUGAGCGGCGUGGCAAGGC